UACGUAGGUGACCAGCGUUGUCCGGAUUUACUGGGCGUAAAGAGCGCGCAGGCGGUCGUUCAAGUCGAGUGUGAAAGCCCCCGGCUCAACUGGGGAGGGUCAUUCGAUACUGAUCGACUCGAAGGCAGGAGAGGGUAGUGGAAUUCCCGGUGUAGUGGUGAAAUGCGUAGAUAUCGGGAGGAACACCAGUGGCGAAGGCGACUACCUGGCCUGUUCUUGACGCUGAGGCGCGAAAGCUAGGGGAGCAAACGGG
rnacentral:rRNA from 1 species